rnacentral:rRNA from 1 species
UACGUAGGGGGCGAGCGUUGUCCGGAUUUAUUGGGCGUAAAGAGCGUGUAGGCGGCCAGGUAGGUCUGCUGUGAAAACUCGAGGCUCAACCUCGAGACGUCGGCGGAAACCAUCUGGCUAGAGUCCGGAAGAGGAGAGUGGAAUUCCUGGUGUAGCGGUGAAAUGCGCAGAUAUCAGGAAGAACACCCGUGGCGAAGGCGGCUCUCUGGGACGGUACUGACGCUGAGACGCGAAAGCGUGGGGAGCGAGCAGG